GACAGAGGGCUCAAGCGUUGUUCGGAUUCAUUGGGCGUAAAGGGUGCGUAGGCGGCGGGGCAAGUCUGAUGUGAAAUCCCGGGGCUCAACCCCGGAACUGCAUUGGAUACUGCCUUGCUCGAGUACUGGAGAGGGAACUGGAAUUUACGGUGUAGCAGUGAAAUGCGUAGAGAUCGUAAGGAAGGCCAGUGGCGAAGGCGAGUUCCUGGACAGUUACUGACGCUGAGGCACGAAGGCCAGGGGAGCAAACGGG
rnacentral:rRNA from 1 species